rnacentral:rRNA from 1 species
GACGAACGCUGGCGGCGUGCCUAACACAUGCAAGUCGAGCGAGUUGAUUCUCUUCGGAGAUGAAGCUAGCGGCGGAUGGGUGAGUAACACGUGGGCAACCUGCCUCAUAGAGGGGAAUAGCCUCCCGAAAGGGAGAUUAAUACCGCAUAAGAUUGUAGCUUCGCAUGAAGUAGCAAUUAAAGGAGUAAUCCGCUAUGAGAUGGGCCCGCGGCGCAUUAGCUAGUUGGUGAGGUAACGGCUCACCAAGGCGACGAUGCGUAGCCGACCUGAGAGGGUGAUCGGCCACAUUGGGACUGAGACACGGCCCAGACUCCUACGGGAGGCAGCAGUGGGGAAUAUUGCACAAUGGGGGAAACCCUGAUGCAGCAACGCCGCGUGAGUGAUGACGGCCUUCGGGUUGUAAAGCUCUGUCUUCAGGGACGAUAAUGACGGUACCUGAGGAGGAAGCCACGGCUAACUACGUGCCAGCCGCCGCGGUAA